CCGUGCCCGCUCCCCGUCCCGCUCCCGCUCCAUGGAAGCGGCCAACGGGGCCGUGCCCGAGGGCGCGGCGGGGGAGCCCCGCGGCAGCGCGGCCGCCCCGUCGGGCAGGAAGGAGGUGAAGGUGGUGAUCGUGGGGGACGGGGGCUGCGGGAAGACGUCGCUGCUCAUGGUGUACGCCAAGGGCUCCUUCCCCGAGCAAUACGCGCCCUCCGUCUUCGAGAAGUACACGACGAGCGUGACGGUGGGGAAGAAGGAGGUGACUCUGAACCUGUACGACACCGCAGGGCAGGAGGACUACGAUCGGCUGCGACCUCUUUCUUACCAGAACACAAAUGUCGUGUUAAUUUGUUACGAUGUCAUGAACCCCACUAGCUAUGACAAUGUAGCAGCCAAGUGGUACCCUGAAGUGAAUCACUUCUGCCGAGGGGUCCCGCUCGUGCUCAUCGGCUGCAAGACGGACCUUCGGAAGGACAAGGAGCAGCUGCGCAAGCUCAGGGCUUCCAAGCAGGAGCCCAUCACUUACAACCAGUCUUUUACAGCUGGUGGCAUCUUGAGUCACACGACAUGAUGCUUCCAAUACCAGGCACAGAGGAGCUGAACAGUCUCUGCCAGCACUGCAGCUUGCAAACAACUGGAAGGAGACAAACUGCUUAAAUAUGAAGAAAAUCCCCCCUAUAGAAGCCCAAGUGCUCAAGUGACUCCACUCCCAGGGCUUAUAAUGAAUAAAUGCACUUUGUGAGUUGUGGGUUGCAGACCUGGAAUUCACAGUGAAAGGCUCACAAGCAUUCAAACCUGGGAGCUGGCCCUGCACUGACAAUAGAAGGAUCACAAGCAAAGGAGAGGCAGCUUGUCAGGAGAUUCACGCAGAGGUUUAUCUGGAAUGCUCAGCAAAAUGCCGGGAAAACAUAGAAAAUGUUUUUAAAGAAGCA